UGCAAUUAUUAUGAAAAAUAAAUUGGGGA
rnacentral:piRNA from 1 species